rnacentral:rRNA from 1 species
CCCUUAGAUGUCCGGGGCUGCACGCGCGCUACACUGUAGAAAGCAGCGUGCUUUAAAACCUUUCCUGAAAAGGAUGGGUAACCCCAGCAAAAUUCUACGUGCUUGGGAUAGAGAUUUGCAAUUUUCUCUCUUGAACGAGGAAUUCCCAGUAAGUGCGAGUCAUCAGCUCGCGUUGAUUACGUCCCCGCCCUUUGUACACACCGCCCGUCGCUACUACCGAUUGGGAAAAUUUUAGAGAGUCCUGGACUGAUGAUUGUUCGGCUUCACGGCCUUACUUUCGUCGGGAAAGAAUUCGAUAAUAUUUUUCUAGAGGAAGUAAAAGUCGUAACA